UAAAACUGCUGGUUUCUUACCCGUAGAUGGU
rnacentral:piRNA from 1 species